rnacentral:rRNA from 1 species
GAUGAACGCUGGCGGCGUGCCUAAUACAUGCAAGUCGAGCGAACGGACGAGAAGCUUGCUUUUCUGAUGUUAGCGGCGGACGGGUGAGUAACACGUGGAUAACCUACCUAUAAGACUGGGAUAACUUCGGGAAACCGGAGCUAAUACCGGAUAAUAUUUUGAACCGCAUGGUUCAAAAGUGAAAGACGGUCUUGCUGUCACUUAUAGAUGGAUCCGCGCUGCAUUAGCUAGUUGGUAAGGUAACGGCUUACCAAGGCAACGAUGCAUAGCCGACCUGAGAGGGUGAUAGGCCACACUGGAACUGAGACACGGUCCAGACUCCUACGGGAGGCAGCAGUAGGGAAUCUUCCGCAAUGGGCGAAAGCCUGACGGAGCAACGCCGCGUGAGUGAUGAGGGUCUUCGGAUCGUAAAACUCUGUUAUUAGGGAAGAACAUAUGUGUAAGUAACUGUGCACAUCUUGACGGUACCUAAUCAGAAAGCCACGGCUAACUACGUG